AACAAAUAAAACUAAAAAAGUUUUUCUAACUUGUCAAAAUUGUAUGAUUUGCAUUGGCAUAAGUGAAAGAUGUACUUCUGAUUAGAAAGGGUAUUACAGAUCCGGAAGUCCUGAUUCCAGGUUCUACUACUACGAGAAGUUGGAUAGUAACAUCAGUUCUCCUGUGAUCACAGAGAAGAAUAAAUAUUCUGGCAUCUGUUAUAAGUUUCAGGUUCCAGAUUUCCUCUGGGAGAAAGGAGUUUCAAGGUUUUAUAUAAAAACAAAGGUCAACACACUUAUUGGCUUUAGUCAUUAUGGCCAAAGGAGUGGAAUUGACAAUCAGGAUAAGGUAAAAUUAUCAUAAAAUCGAUCCAAUUUUCUUUUCUUUCUUGAAUGAUUAUUUCAUGUAAAUAUAGUGGAGAAAAAUUGG